CAGCCCUAAACGAUGCGCGUUAGGUGUAUCGGUGACCACGAGUCACCGAGGUGCCGAAGGGAAACCGUGAAACGUGCCGCCUGGGAAGUACGGUCGCAAGGCUGAAACUUAAAGGAAUUGGCGGGGGGAGCACCACAACGGGUGGAGCCUGCGGUUUAAUUGGACUCAACGCCGGGAAGCUCACCGGAUAAGACAGCGGAAUGAUUGCCGGGCUGAAGACCCUGCAUGACCAGCCUGAGAGGUGGUGCAUGGCGUGUGACGUCU
rnacentral:rRNA from 1 species